UGGGGGGUCGUCUAAUGGCAGGACAGCAGCCUUUGAAGCUGUGAAUGAAGGUUCGAUUCCUUCCCCCCCAGCCA
rnacentral:tRNA from 1 species